rnacentral:rRNA from 1 species
CAGCAGCCGCGGGAAUACAGAGGGUGCGAGCGUUAAUCGGAUUUACUGGGCGUAAAGCGUGCGUAGGCGGCUUCUUAAGUCGGAUGUGAAAUCCCUGAGCUUAACUUAGGAAUUGCAUUCGAUACUGGGAAGCUAGAGUAUGGGAGAGGAUGGUGGAAUUCCAGGUGUAGCGGUGAAAUGCGUAGAGAUCUGGAGGAAUACCGAUGGCGAAGGCAGCCAUCUGGCCUAAUACUGACGCUGAGGUACGAAAGCAUGGGGAGCAAACAGGAUUAGAUACCCGCGUAGUCCCUGUCUCUUAUAC